GUUAGGAAUAUUGGACAAUGGGCGAAAGCCUGAUCCAGCCAUGCCGCGUGAACGAUGAAGGCCUUCGGGUUGUAAAGUUCUUUAGCCGAUGAUUAUAAUGACUGUAGUCGGAAAAUAAGCCCCGGCUAACUUCGUGCCAGCAGCCGCGGUAAUACGAAGGGGGCGAGCGUUAUUCGGAAUCACUGGGCGUAAAGCGUGUGUAGGCGGUUUUGUAAGUUAGGAGUGAAAGCCCAGGGCUCAACCUUGGAAUUGCUCUUAAAACUGCAAGGCUCGAAUCUCGGAGAGGAUAGCGGAAUUUCCAGUGUAGCAGUGAAAUGCGUAGAUAUUGGAAGGAACACCAGUGGCGUAAGCGGCUAUCUGGACGAGUAUUGACGCUGAGGCACGAAAGCGUGGGGAUCAAACAGGAUUAGAUACCCCGGUAGUCC
rnacentral:rRNA from 1 species